rnacentral:rRNA from 1 species
UACGGAGGGUGCAAGCGUUAUCCGGAUUCACUGGGUUUAAAGGGUGCGUAGGAGGGCAGGUAAGUCAGUGGUGAAAUCUCCGAGCUUAACUCGGAAACUGCCGUUGAUACUAUCUGUCUUGAAUCCCGUGGAGAUGAGCGGAAUAUGUCAUGUAGCGGUGAAAUGCUUAGAUAUGACAUAGAACACCAAUUGCGAAGGCAGCUCGUUACACGAAGAUUGACUCUGAGGCACGAAAGCGUGGGGAGCAAACAGG